rnacentral:rRNA from 1 species
UACGUUCGUUGGGUAGGGGAGCGUUCUGUAAGCCUGUGAAGGUGUGUCGUGAGGCAUGCUGGAGGUAUCAGAAGUGCGAAUGCUGACAUAAGUAACGAUAAAGCGGGUGAAAAGCCCGCUCGCCGGAAGACCAAGGGUUCCUGUCCAACGUUAAUCGGGGCAGGGUGAGUCGACCCCUAAGGCGAGGCCGAAAGGCGUAGUCGAUGGGAAACGGGUUAAUAUUCCCGUACUUGGUGUUACUGCGAAGGGGGGACGGAGAAGGCUAUGUUGGCCGGGCGACGGUUGUCCCGGUUUAAGCGUGUAGGUGUGUGUUCCAGGUAAAUCCGGUUCACUUUAACACUGAGGCGUGACGACGAGGCACUACGGUGCUGAAGCAACAAAUGCCCUGCUUCCAGGAAAAGCCUCUAAGCAUCAGGUAACACGAAAUCGUACCCCAAACCGACACAGGUGGUCAGGUAGAGAAUACCAAGGCGCUUGAGAGAACUCGGGUGAAGGAACUAGGCAAAAUGGUGCCGUAACUUCGGGAGAAGGCACGCUGACACGUAGGUGAAGUGAUUUACUCAUGGAGCUGAAGUCAGUCGAAGAUACCAGCUGGCUGCAACUGUUUAUUAAAAACACAGCACUGUGCAAACACGAAAGUGGACGUAUACGGUGUGACGCCUGCCCGGUGCCGGAAGGUUAAUUGAUGGGGUCAGCGUAAGCGAAGCUCCUGAUCGAAGCCCCGGUAAACGGCGGCCGUAACUAUAACGGUCCUAAGGUAGCGAAAUUCCUUGUCGGGUAAGUUCCGACCUGCACGAAUGGCGUAAUGAUGGCCAGGCUGUCUCCACCCGAGACUCAGUGAAAUUGAACUCGCUGUGAAGAUGCAGUGUACCCGCGGCAAGACGGAAAGACCCCGUGAACCUUUACUAUAGCUUGACACUGAACAUUGAGCCUUGAUGUGUAGGAUAGGUGGGAGGCUUUGAAGUGUGGACGCCAGUCUGCAUGGAGCCGACCUUGAAAUACCACCCUUUAAUGUUUGAUGUUCUAACGUGGACCCGUAAUCCGGGUUGCGGACAGUGUCUGGUGGGUAGUUUGACUGGGGCGGUCUCCUCCUAAAGAGUAACGGAGGAGCACGAAGGUUGGCUAAUCCUGGUCGGACAUCAGGAGGUUAGUGCAAUGGCAUAAGCCAGCUUGACUGCGAGCGUGACGGCGCGAGCAGGUGCGAAAGCAGGUCAUAGUGAUCCGGUGGUUCUGAAUGGAAGGGCCAUCGCUCAACGGAUAAAAGGUACUCCGGGGAUAACAGGCUGAUACCGCCCAAGAGUUCAUAUCGACGGCGGUGUUUGGCACCUCGAUGUCGGCUCAUCACAUCCUGGGGCUGAAGUAGGUCCCAAGGGUAUGGCUGUUCGCCAUUUAAAGUGGUACGCGAGCUGGGUUUAGAACGUCGUGAGACAGUUCGGUCCCUAUCUGCCGUGGGCGCUGGAGAACUGAGGGGGGCUGCUCCUAGUACGAGAGGACCGGAGUGGACGCAUCACUGGUGUUCGGGUUGUCAUGCCAAUGGCACUGCCCGGUAGCUAAAUGCGGAAGAGAUAAGUGCUGAAAGCAUCUAAGCACGAAACUUGCCCCGAGAUGAGUUC